GCCCAAGUGGUGAAAUUGGUAGACACGCAAGAUUUAGGUUCUUGUGCAGGAAACUGCGUGGGGGUUCAAGUCCCUUCUUGGGCA
rnacentral:tRNA from 1 species